CCUACGGGAGGCAGCAGUGGGGAAUCUUGCGCAAUGGGCGAAAGCCUGACGCAGCCAUGCCGCGUGAAUGAUGAAGGUCUUAGGAUUGUAAAAUUCUUUCACCGGGGACGAUAAUGACGGUACCCGGAGAAGAAGCCCCGGCUAACUUCGUGCCAGCAGCCGCGGUAAUACGAAGGGGGGCUAGCGUUGCUCGGAAUUACUGGGCGUAAAGGGAGCGUAGGCGGAUAGUUUAGUCAGAGGUGAAAGCCCAGGGCUCAACCUUGGAAUUGCCUUUGAUACUGGCUAUCUUGAGUUUGGGAGAGGUGAGUGGAACUCCGAGUGUAGAGGUGAAAUUCGUAGAUAUUCGGAAGAACACCAGUGGCGAAGGCGACUCACUGGCCCAAUACUGACGCUGAGGCUCGAAAGCGUGGGGAGCAAAACAGGAUUAGAUACCCUGGUAGUCCACGCCGUAAACGAUGAGUGCUAGUUNUCGGCAUGCAUGCAUGUCGGUGACGCAGCUAAACGCAUUAAGCACUCCGCCNGGAGACGUGCAGAAUAAACUAAAGAAGUAGAGNGNGAGAGNGCGACGAGACGACGAGGAGAG
rnacentral:rRNA from 1 species